rnacentral:rRNA from 1 species
UAGAGUUUGAUCCUGGCUCAGAUUGAACGCUGGCGGCAUGCUUUACACAUGCAAGUCGAACGGUAACAGGUCUUCGGAUGCUGACGAGUGGCGAACGGGUGAGUAAUACAUCGGAACGUGCCUAGUAGUGGGGGAUAACUACUCGAAAGAGUAGCUAAUACCGCAUGAGAUCUACGGAUGAAAGCAGGGGACCUUUGGGCCUUGUGCUACUAGAGCGGCUGAUGGCAGAUUAGGUAGUUGGUGGGGUAAAGGCUUACCAAGCCUGCGAUCUGUAGCUGGUCUGAGAGGACGACCAGCCACACUGGGACUGAGACACGGCCCAGACUCCUACGGGAGGCAGCAGUGGGGAAUUUUGGACAAUGGGCGAAAGCCUGAUCCAGCAAUGCCGCGUGCAGGAUGAAGGCCCCCGGGUUGUAAACUGCUUUUGUACGGAACGAAAAGCCUGGGGCUAAUAUCCCCGGGUCAUGACGGUACCGUAAGAAUAAGCACCGGCUAACUACGUGCCAGCAGCCGCGGUAAUACGUAGGGUGCAAGCGUUAAUCGGAAUUACUGGGCGUAAAGCGUGCGCAGGCGGUUUUGUAAGACAGUGGUGAAAUCCCCGGGCUCAACCUGGGAACUGCCAUUGUGACUGCAAGGCUAGAGUGCGGCAGAGGGGGAUGGAAUUCCGCGUGUAGCAGUGAAAUGCGUAGAUAUGCGGAGGAACACCGAUGGCGAAGGCAAUCCCCUGGGCCUGCACUGACGCUCAUGCACGAAAGC